rnacentral:rRNA from 1 species
AGCGUUGCUCGGAAUCACUGGGCGUAAAGCGCACGUAGGCGGCUUUUUAAGUCAGGGGUGAAAUCCUGGAGCUCAACUCCAGAACUGCCCUUGAUACUGGCGAUCUCGAGUCCGGGAGAGGUGAGUGGAACUGCGAGUGUAG